rnacentral:lncRNA from 1 species
ACUCAGUUGACAACUUUAAGUGAAGAUGCACUGAAAAAUUGAGCGUACAUUGUGUGUGAUCGUACAAGAACUGCUGGAAUUUGCAAACUUUUAAACUUUCAUUUUGACAAUUAUCUAUAUCAUAAACUAUCUACAGUAACUUAUCACAUUGACAUGCUUUUUUGGUUAGGAUACACAUGAUGUAGCAACUAUAUCAUGUCAUGUAGGGGGAA